CCCUUGGCCCAGCUUUCCUGAUCUAAUUUUCUCCCGAGAUGAUGUCAAAUGACGCGUUUGACGUCAUCUCAGGAUAACUUUGCUUGCCUGCUAGAAGUGCCAAGGACAACAAACCACUGGUUCCGCAAAUUUGUGAGCCCACCAAUAAGGAAUGAGGGGGGGCGGGAGCUCGCGUACCAGAUGUAAACACAAUGUCUGCCAUGUUUCUUCACCGCUUAGCUAGAGAACACAUUUGCAAUGUGAAACAGCCAAAGUGGAUUUUGAAAUUCUAUUGUUGGAUUCGGACAUUCAGGGCUAUUAGUACGAGCCAGAAUACAGCCACGAAGAAUUGACACAAAUAGAGAAGGAGGCUGCGGCGGCUGCAGCUGAACAAUCCCUGCCUGUUGCCGAGGAGCCGGAGCGCGCCGGUUUGCUCUGUUCGCCUGUAGACACUAUCACAGUGUCCCUGUGCUGCAGCGAAUUUCAGAGAUGCCAGUGUCUUCUCGAAUAAAUGGCUGAAUCUGGCGAGGACGGAGCCAUGUGUGUAACCUCUCACCCAGGCUUUACGCCUCAUCUCAACAGCUGGGUAUUGGACACAUGUAUAUUUCCGGACCCAGAAAGUGAACUGGAAACAGACGUCUGAGCAUAGAACAGUAUCGGCUUCCUGUGAUGUCCAGGCCAUCAGAGCUAAUUGCCCAGCACAAGAUGGGCAGUACCGUGGCUACCAGGAGACAGUAGAUGCUCAAGAUGAGCUGUUACUAUUUGGACUCUAGCAAACUCACACGUUUUAUUUUUGUAACUUCAAAUUCAUGUCGGUUGUUGUGAUUUUUUUACUAACCCAAGUGCUGUUAUACUAAAGUAAGCCUACUGUAUAAGAUAAACACUUAUUUCAACUGGG